CCUACGGGAGGCUGCAGUAAGGAAUAUUGGUCAAUGGACGCAAGUCUGAACCAGCCAUGCCGCGUGAAGGAUGAAGGUCCUCUGGAUUGUAAACUUCUUUUAUAGGGGAAGAAACCGGGAAAUUCCUUUUCCGUUGACGGUACCCUGGGAAUAAGCACCGGCUAACUCCGUGCCAGCAGCCGCGGUAAUACGGAGGGUGCAAGCGUUAUCCGGAUUUACUGGGUUUAAAGGGUGCGUAGGUGGGGCUGUAAGUCCGUGGUGAAAUCUCCAGGCUU
rnacentral:rRNA from 1 species